rnacentral:rRNA from 1 species
CUCAGGAUGAACGCUGGCGGCGUGCUUAACACAUGCAAGUCGAACGAAGCACUUCAAUCGAUUUCUUCGGAAUGAAGUUUUAGUGACUGAGUGGCGGACGGGUGAGUAACGCGUGGGUAACCUGCCUCACACGGGGGGAUAACAGUUGGAAACGGCUGCUAAUACCGCAUAAGCGCACAGUACCGCAUGGUACAGUGUGAAAAACUCCGGUGGUGUGAGAUGGACCCGCGUCUGAUUAGCUAGUUGGCAGGGCAACGGCCUACCAAGGCGACGAUCAGUAGCCGACCUGAGAGGGUGACCGGCCACAUUGGGACUGAGACACGGCCCAAACUCCUACGGGAGGCAGCAGUGGGGAAUAUUGCACAAUGGGGGAAACCCUGAUGCAGCGACGCCGCGUGAGCGAAGAAGUAUUUCGGUAUGUAAAGCUCUAUCAGCAGGGAAGAAGAAAUGACGGUACCUGACUAAGAAGCACCGGCUAAAUACGUGCCAGCAGCCGCGGUAAUACGUAUGGUGCAAGCGUUAUCCGGAUUUACUGGGUGUAAAGGGAGCGCAGGCGGAAGGCUAAGUCUGAUGUGAAAGCCCGGGGCUCAACCCCGGUACUGCAUUGGAAACUGGUCAUCUAGAGUGUCGGAGGGGUAAGUGGAAUUCCUAGUGUAGCGGUGAAAUGCGUAGAUAUUAGGAGGAACACCAGUGGCGAAGGCGGCUUACUGGACGAUAACUGACGCUGAGGCUCGAAAGCGUGGGGAGCAAACAGGAUUAGAUACCCUGGUAGUCCACGCCGUAAACAAUGAAUACUAGGUGUGCGGGGACUGACCCCCUGCGUGCCGCAGUUAACACAAUAAGUAUUCCACCUGGGGAGUACGAUCCGCAAGGUUGAAACUCAAAGGAAUUGACGGAAGGGCGAAUUCUG